GAUGAAGAACGCAGUGAAAUGCGAUAAGUAAUGUGAAUUGCAGAAUUCAGUGAAUCAUCGAAUCUUUGAACGCACCUUGCGCCCUUUGGCCAUUCCGAAGGGCAUGCCUGUUUGAGUAUCAUGAACACCUCAACUCCUCAUGGUCUUCUAUGAUGAGCUUGGACUUUGGGGGCUUGCUGGCCCAUUUGGUCAGCUCCUCUCAAAUGAAUCAGCCUACCAGUGUUUGGUGGCACCACAGGUGUGAUAACAAUCUACGCUUGAGGUUUUCCACCAGGCAACCUUCAGUAAUUGGGGUUCACUGGGGCUCACAAAUGUCUUUCUUCAGUGAGGACAGCUCUUUGAAUGUUUGAUCUCAAAUCAGGUAGGACUACCCGCUGAACUUAAGCAUAUCAAUAAGCGGAGGA
rnacentral:misc_RNA from 1 species